rnacentral:rRNA from 1 species
UACAGAGGUCUCAAGCGUUGUUCGGAUUCAUUGGGCGUAAAGGGUGCGUAGGCGGGUCUUUAAGUCAGGGUGAAUCCGUGGAGCUCAACUCCAGAACUGCCUUUGAUACUGAAGAUCUUGAGUUCGGAGAGGUGAGUGGAACUGCGAGUGUAGAGGUGAAAUUCGUAGAUAUUCGCAAGAACACCAGUGGCGAAGGCGGCUCACUGGCCCGAUACUGACGCUGAGGCACGAAAGCGUGGGAGCAACAGGG